rnacentral:tRNA from 2 species
GCCCCCAUAGCCCAAUUGGCAGAGGCAGACGACUUAAAAUCGUCACAGUGAGGGUUCGAGUCCCUCUGGGGGUA